GGAGUUGGCCAGACAGUCGCCGCCGGUCGCCGUUUUGCGGGAUCGGGGGAGGAAAGUCCGGGCUCCAUAGGGCAGAGUGCCAGGUAACGCCUGGGCGGUGCGAGCCGACGGAAAGUGCAGCAGAGAGUAGACCGCCUACGCCUCCUGCGGGAGGCCGGUAAGGGUGAAAGGGUGCGGUAAGAGCGCACCGCGCGCCUGGUAACAGUGCGUGGCACGGUAAACCCCACUCGGAGCAAGACCAAAUAGGAACCCAAUGGCGUGGCCCGCGCUGGGUUCGGGUAGGUCGCUUGAGAACGCCGGUGACGACGUUCCUAGACGAAUGACUGUCCGAGACAGAACCCGGCUUAUCGGCCGACUCCCUCC
rfam:Halomonas elongata DSM 2581, complete genome